UACUGGAUUCUACCACAGCAUGCAAUAUGGCAUGGCAUGGACUAGUAUAGCUGCUGUGACCGUCUCCACAGAUGCUCUCCCUCUCAAGAUCAGUCCCAGAGAUGGCAAUACAUCCCUGCAAUUCCUCAAGGAGUGGAUGGCAGCCAACAAGGACUGGCUGGACCAGAAGCUGCUGGAACAUGGAGCCAUCUUAUUGCAAGGGUUUGAUGUGAACGAAGCCAUCGACUUCCAAGAAGCUGUACUGCAGUUCAGUCCUGACCUGUGUGACACGUACAGAGGCACCUCUCCAAGGAACCAAAUCCCUGGAACCCAGUACGUGUUCUCGGCCAGUGAGUUCCCCCCACACUACCCCAUUCCCCAACACCUUGAGAUGGCGUUCCUGCCCGCCCCUCCUCGGAGACUGUUCUUCUGUUGUCUGGAGGCACCCACCUCGGCUGGAGGGGAGACUUGUCUGGCCGACUACAAGAAAGUCUAUGAGACCAUGGAUCCGAAAAUUCGACAAAGUUUUGAAGACAAAGGAGUGAUGCAUAUUCGUAACUAUGUGAGACAGAGGAGCUACUUCACAGACCCGUCCAUGAUGAAGGGGUGGGAGGCCGUGUUUGGCACCAAAGAUCGAGAAGAAGUUUCCCAGGAACUGACAGAGAACCGAAUGGAGCACUCAUGGGGAGAGAACGAUUCACUGAGGAUAGUGAACCGUGUCCCUGCUAUAGAGAAGCAUCCUCAGUCCGGCCACAAAGUGUGGUUCAAUCAUUUAAUGGUAUUUCAUUGGACCAUGUAUUAUGACGAGCCCUACCGUGUGUACCAGCGCCUGGGGGGUCUCAAACAGCUGCUCUACUCCUGGGUCCUGUGGGCUGCCAGCUUCUUCUAUAUCGGACUGAAAGCACCCUCGGCUAAACUGAGCCUUGGUAUGAACACUUGCUAUGGCGAUGGUGCGGCCAUACCUUAUCGUACAGUGAGCCACGUUAGAGACACAGUGUGGAGGAACCUUGUGUUCAAUCGCUGGAAGCAGGGAGACGUGCUCAUGAUUGACAACUUCAGGGUCUCUCACGGGAGACAGCCUUUCUCCGGCAAGAGGAAGAUCGUUGUGUCCUGGUCUAACCCGAUGACAAGACCCAGCCUCAUAAGAUCCUGAACCACCAUAGACUGAUAUUUAUAACCAGUUGCCGUUUCCAUCGUUUUAUAUUUACACAGCAAUCAUUCCUCCAUAGCAUGUUACCCACUCAGUCAUGUGACAUGUGAAGGAAUGGUUUCAGACUGCAGUAUGUUUUGGAGCUUCACUCACCAGAGCUAGAAGACAAGAAUGAUGCUGAGUAUCUUCCUCCUCCACAACUCCUCCAGAUGUGAGCCACUGAAACCUUGCAGGCGAUGUUGGCAAUCCGUGAGGAGAAGGUCAUACAGGGAAGAAAGGUGUCUCCAAAACCAGCAGACAAAACCUGAGUCCAGUGAGGUGGUGAAGAGGAUGAUAGUGUCUCUCUCUGGUGAUGGCUCCCUCCCUCCGGACACUCUGGAGCACCUCACACCAGAACUACUCACUAGAAUAGAGCCAACAACACGCAAGACACAG